CCAAUUCCCCAAAACAAAAUCUGUAAAGAUGAAGUAUCUUUAUUAAUGAAACAAGUUUUCAAACAUCAUCUGAAGUACUUGAAGUCCUCAAGGAAUAAAACACAGAUGCGGGGGAAAAGAGAUGCCUUUAAAGAAACAAAGUGGAGCGACCCAGGGACAAGUCUGGUUUGGGUUUAAGAUUAAGGAUGGUUAACUUUUAUUAUUGGUGUUUGGUUAAGUUUAGGCAUUAGUGAUUGUAUUAAAGAUUGUUUAGGUAUUAGGAAAGAGUUUAGGCAUUAGAGAUGUUUAGUUAGAGGGUCAAGUUUGGGUACUAGGUUAUGGUAAGCGAGUUUAGGCCUUUGAGAUGUUUAGUUAAAUGGUUCAGUUUAGGUACUCGUUUAGAGUAAGAGAGUUUAGGCAUUUGAGAUCUAUAGUUAGAUGGUUAAGUUUGGGUAUUAGGUUGGCUUUUUGUUUUGUUAGACAAGUUACUUUAGGCAUUUUAUGUGAUUCAAUUUAGGGCAUUUGAAAGAAAGAUUAGAAAGAUUGUUAAGCUCAGGUUAGCUCCAGCUUUGUCCCUUUAGUCGCUCCCUUAGAAAGAGGGUUCAGAGGUAACUGGGUCAGAAAUACAAUAGUUGGGGUCACAGAAA
ensembl:lncRNA